CCCAAAUACGAAGAAACCCUAAUGGUUGCCCCAAAAGCAGCCGAUGGAUUAUAUUUUAUUUGAUAUCAAAAUGGUUGAAACCUGCAGGCAAGACAAUAGGGAAAAGAGAAAACAAAUCUGUUAGAUCAGAGGGAAGCAACUGCAGCGUUGUAGGCCGCGCGUUGAUGCUACGUGGGAUGAGAAGACAACCUAACCUCUUCAGCCACCAUGCGCUCAACUUGGAAAGGAACCUCUUCGACCUAGAAACGGUCCGUUUGCCAACGAAACCCCGGCACCGCUAGCUGGUGGGUAACUUGUUUCUGCUCCCUGUAGUAGUGAUAGAUUGUAGCCACCGCAAAAGAUAGAGUCCCCUUCAAACACUAGCUGAGAGAGACCAGAGUCACGAGCAAAGUCCACCGCCGAAAAGAAAGCCAACGUUUUUGCUGCAAAAACCGACGAGACAUGACAGUGGAGCCUAGUGUAAGCGCCAAGUACUUUACUUUGAGCGUCUCGCACCACCACCCCCGAGCAAGAAGAGUGAGUCCCCCCUCUGUAAGCAGCGUCAAAAUUGGCCUUGACCAGAGGCGCAGCUGCAAGCAGGCAACCAAGGAGCAGGACGCAAGAUCACAGGGGUCGCCUCUGGCACCUACAACACAGACAGUCCACCCAGGUAGAAGCGAAUGAAAUAGACCAGCUCAGUAGGUGUAGAACCGAACCCCUCGUGAUAAUGCCAAUUUCGCGCCCACCAAAUCGCCCAUAUCGCGGUAAGGAUGAGAACUAAACCAUCACCAUUAGUUGCAUGACAGAGAUAUCCCAACCAACUUACAAUGUCUAUAGCAUUGUAGGUACCAGGCCAGGAGAUGAGCAACCGGUUCCAAACCGAAACUGUAAAAGGGCAAUCCCGGAGUACGUGAAUAGUAGUAUUAGGUACACUUAGGCAUCUAGGACAAAAUUGCAUAGUAGAUAUGUAACGGUUGUAAAGGUUGUGUAAUGUGGGAACAUAAUUUCAAAUAAAUCGCCAGGGCUCGAACCUUCCACAA